UGGUGGAAUUGGUAGACACAAGGGAUUUAAAAUCCCUCGACGUUCGCGUUGUGCCGGUUCAAGUCCGGC
rnacentral:tRNA from 1 species